GACGAACGCUGGCGGCGCGCCUAACACAUGCAAGUCGAACGAGCGAGCGAGAGCUUGCUUUCUCGAGCGAGUGGCGAACGGGUGAGUAACGCGUGAGGAACCUGCCUCAAAGAGGGGGACAACAGUUGGAAACGACUGCUAAUACCGCAUAAGCCCACGACCCGGCAUCGGGUAGAGGGAAAAGGAGCAAUCCGCUUUGAGAUGGCCUCGCGUCCGAUUAGCUAGUUGGUGAGGUAACGGCCCACCAAGGCGACGAUCGGUAGCCGGACUGAGAGGUUGAACGGCCACAUUGGGACUGAGACACGGCCCAGACUCCUACGGGAGGCAGCAGUGGGGAAUAUUGCACAAUGGGGGAAACCCUGAUGCAGCGACGCCGCGUGGAGGAAGAAGGUCUUCGGAUUGUAAACUCCUGUUGUUGAGGAAGAUAAUGACGGUACUCAACAAGGAAGUGACGGCUAACUACGUG
rnacentral:rRNA from 1 species